CGAAAUGCGAUAAGUAAUGUGAAUUGCAGAAUUCAGUGAAUCAUCGAAUCUUUGAACGCACCUUGCGCUCCUUGGUAUUCCUUGGAGCAUGCCUGUUUGAGUAUCAUGAAAUCUUCAAAGUAAAUCUUUUGUUAACUCAAUUGGUUUCUACUUUGGUAUUGGAGGUCUUUGCAGCUUCACACCUGCUCCUCUUUGCUCAUUAGCUGGAUCUCAGUGUUAUGCUUGGUUCCACUCGGCGUGAUAAGUUAUCUAUCGCUGAGGACACUGUAAAAGGUGGCCAAGGUAAAUGCAGAUGAACCGCUUCUAAUAGUCCAUUGACUUGGACAAUACUUUUAUGAUCUGAUCUCAAAUCAGGUAGGACUACCCGCUGAACUUAAGC
rnacentral:misc_RNA from 1 species